rnacentral:rRNA from 1 species
CGAACGCUGGCGGCAGGCUUAACACAUGCAAGUCGAACGCGCCCUUCGGGGCGAGUGGCAGACGGGUGAGUAACGCGUGGGAACCUACCUUUCGGUUCGGAAUAACCCAGGGAAACUUGGGCUAAUACCGGAUGCGCCCUUUGGGGGAAAGAUUUAUCGCCGAAAGAUGGGCCCGCGUCGGAUUAGCUAGUUGGUGGGGUAAUGGCCUACCAAGGCGACGAUCCGUAGCUGGUCUGAGAGGAUGAUCAGCCACACUGGGACUGAGACACGGCCCAGACUCCUACGGGAGGCAGCAGUGGGGAAUAUUGGACAAUGGGGGCAACCCUGAUCCAGCCAUGCCGCGUGAGUGAUGAAGGCCUUAGGGUUGUAAAGCUCUUUCACCGGUGAAGAUAAUGACGUAACCG